UAUUUGUAGGUUAUCCUAAAGAGAAUAUAGGAUACAUCUUUUGCCACCCUACUGAACAAAAAGUGUUUAUUAGUAAACAUGCCACUUUUAUAGAAAAAAAAUAUUUUAGAAAGAAGGCAGUGGGAAAAAAAUUAAACUUGGAGAAGUUCAAGACCUAUAAACAGAAGUACAAGAUAAUCCUCAACCAAAAGUACCCAUUGAUGAGGUACAACCACAAAAUACAUCUCCUCUUUAA
rnacentral:lncRNA from 1 species